ACAGAGGGGGCAAGCGUUGUUCGGAAUUACUGGGCGUAAAGGGCGCGUAGGUGGCCUUCUAAGUUGAACGUGAAAUCCCUGGGCUCAACCCAGGAACUGCGUCCAAGACUGGGAGGCUUGAAUCCGGGAGAGGGAUGCGGAAUUCCAGGUGUAGCGGUGAAAUGCGUAGAUAUCGGGAGGAACACCUGAGGCGAAGGCGGGCUACUGGGCCGAUACUGACGCUGAUGCGCGAAAGCCAGGGGAGCGAACGGGA
rnacentral:rRNA from 1 species